UACGUAGGAGACGAGCGUUGUCCGGAGUUACUGGGCGUAAAGGGUGCGUAGGCGGGUCUUUAAGUCAGGGGUGAAAUCCUGGAGCUCAACUCCAGAACUGCCUUUGAUACUGAAGAUCUUGAGUUCGGGAGAGGUGAGUGGAACUGCGAGUGUAGAGGUGAAAUUCGUAGAUAUUCGCAAGAACACCAGUGGCGAAGGCGGCUCACUGGCCCGAUACUGACGCUGAGGCACGAAAGCGUGGGGAGCAAACAGG
rnacentral:rRNA from 1 species